UGUCAGUCAUUCCAAGAAGUUGACUUAGCGCUCAGUCAAUUUCCGUCCAUUAGAUCCUCAUGCCUAAAAAAAAAAGCCUAAAACUGAUGUUUGAAACUCGCAUAUAGUGGAAUACAAAUCUGCCGAGUUAAGGAUCUUUUCUGAAUCUCGCAAUUUUGGUGGCGUACCCUGCAACAGCAUGUUUGUUGUUAUGGCUGUUUUUACUUCUGUUUAGAAGACAACCCAGCUAAGAGAUAGAGUUUCAGUGACAUGAAGUGUGAACCACCUAUCACCAUGCUACUGCAACACUUCAUGACACUUUCUUAAGCAUCAGGAAAUUUAUCUCAACAUGUGGAGUAAUGCUGUUGGUUGCUGUGAAUUCCAU